CUUCAUUAGUCUUGUAAUCCAGUGGAAUCUGCAUACAUCUUGUACCUUUUGAUAGCAUCGUUGUUUUACACUUUCCUAUGUCAAUAAACCUGUGGACAACGGACAA